rnacentral:rRNA from 1 species
GUAGGUGAACCUGCCGUUGGAUC